GAUGAAGAACGUAGCGAAAUGCGAUACGUAAUGUGAAUUGCAGAAUUCAGUGAAUCAUCGAAUCUUUGAACGCAUAUUGCGCUCUCUGGAAUUCCGGAGAGCAUGCUUGUUUGAGUAUCAGUAAACACCUCAACUUCCAUAUCUUUUUUUGAAAUGGGAGUUGGACUUGAGUGAUCCCAACGCUUUUCCUCACCGAAAAGUGGCGGGUUACUUGAAAUGCAGGUGCAGCUGGACUUUUCUCUGAGCUAUAAGCAUAUCUAUUUAGUCUGCCUAAAAAACAGAUUAUUACCUUUGCUGCAGCUAACAUAAAGGAGAUUAGUUCUUGUGCUGACUGAUGCAGGAUUCACAAAGACAGCUUCGGCCGACUUUGUAAACUCGAUCUCAAAUCAAGUAAGACUACCCGCUGAACUUAAGCAUAUCAAUAAGCGGAGGA
rnacentral:misc_RNA from 1 species